GCUCAGGAGAGAUGACACCGACGUCGGACGGACCGGUCGAUCCGCGCCGUGUCUGUCCGUCCGAAGUGGGUGUCAUCUCGCCUGAAGCA
rnacentral:pre_miRNA from 1 species